ensembl:lncRNA LINC00689 long intergenic non-protein coding RNA 689
AUGAGAUGUUAGUUGGUACAGGGAGGGGUUUCCAGGACCCGCACGCCCUUGCGGAGUGCCUGCUGGAGGGAGCCGGUGUGUCCAGGACACCCUUGCGGAGUGUCUGCUGGAGGGAGCCAGUGUGUCAGUGAGAUGGCUAUGCCCCUGGGCUGCUGUGUCCCAGGUUUCCUCAGUCUCUAACCCUUUGUUCUCACAGGGGAUGGACUCUUGCUUCUUUUCCCAACUCCACCAAGAGGGACCGUCCCAGGACGUCCUUCCCCGGGCAUCUGGCCCUACAGCUGCCUGAGGUCUCCAUCACCGUUGGCGCCAUCAGUCUGCUGUGCAGCCAGCUGUUGGUUUGGAGAGCCUGAAGAACUGCAGUUCACGUCUCAUCUAAAGGAGCUGAAAUGAUAUUGCAGCUUUUUCUUUUGGUUGCGUGCAGUGAGAAUCUGGGAGCUGAACCUGUUAUCUGCAUGGUCUUCAGAAAUCAGGCAAACUCGGAAAAUGCCAACGCCAAAAAUGCUGAUGGGUGACAAAGUGUCACAGGUGUGAUGCAUUACAAAUCUCAGGACUUUUGUUCACUGGAUUUGAAAGGUCAAGCUUCACAGGAAAAUGAUGAAGUCCCAAAAGACCAGAAAUAUAUUUCAGAAGAUGCCAGUUACUACUUUAAAUGUCAAACCAACAUUUCAGAAAUAACUUUCAAUGAUUAUUUCCUGCCAAGAAGGUGAACGCUGGAGACCUUAAUGGUGGAAGAUGGAGGGCGUCUUUCCUUCUGUUAAGCUGACAACUUGGCUUCCAUCUUGUGAGGACCUCACCCUACCUGGUGGCAGAGGACGUCUGACGCCCUCAAUCAUUGCCGUUACACUUCCCAGCCUGGUGGUCAGUCUCCUGGGGUCUGUGUGUUAACAAACCAUCGACUGGACAAUCGCAGUUUUCCUUAUGAAGGCUUACUUUAAAAAGGCUCUGGAUUUUCAGAAGCGAAGUCGCUUUCAUCCCCGAUUCAGACCCAUCCUAGUGGAGGAAAAAUCCUACCAGAAGAAGGGCUGACCAUAGGAACUUGCCAUUUCCUUGACCCCAUCAUAUCUGAGGAAAAAACAACAGAAAAGGUCAAAACCCACGUGUACGCCCAACGUCCUGAUUGACGACUUUGCCUGCAGCUUCUGCUUUCCUGAAAUUCGCUGCUGCCUUUAGAACCCUUGUCUGCAGCCAGUGGGGAGUUCAGGACUUAGGCGGAGCUGCCCCACCCUCCUGCUUGGCACCCUGCAAAUACAUGCCCUCCCUUCCAUCGCUGCAGACCUCAGAGUGGGCGUCCGGUCUCCUGUGCGGGAUGAGAAUACACACCCUCCCUUCCAUCGCUGCAGACCUUAGAGUGGAUGUCCGGUCUCCUGUAUGGGAUGAGAAUACACGCCUUCCCUUCCAUCGCUGCAGAGUGGACGUCUGGUCUCCUGUGUGGGAUAAUACACGCCCUCCUUUCAAUCGCUGCAGACCUCAGAGUGGACGUCCGGUCUCCUGUGUGGGAUAAUACACGCCCUCCUUUCAAUCGCUGCGGACCUCAGAGUGGAUGUCCGGUCUCCUGUAUGGGAUGAGAUACACUCCUUCCCUUCCACUGCUGCAGACCUCAGAGUGGACGUCCGGUCUCCUGUGUGGGAUGAGAUACACUCCUUCCCUUCCACUGCUGCAGACCUCAGAGUGGACGUCCGGUCUCCUUUGUGGGAUGAGAAUACACUCCUUCCCUUCCAUCACUGCAGACCUCAGAGUGGACGUCCGGUCUCCUGUGCGGGACAAGAAUACACUCCUUCCCUUCCAUCACUGCAGACCUCAGAGUGGACGUCCAGUCUCCUGUGCGGGAUGAGAUACACUCCUUCCCUUCCAUCGCUGCAGACCUCAGAGUGGACGUCCAGUCUCUCUGUGCGGGCCAAGUGUACACAGUUUUGUUCCGUCACAACUUCCACGACAGGCCAGUGUGAGGUUUUUGAGCUGGUGCUGACUGAAAACUGUCAGCUGCCCAAGGACCUGGGAGCUCUGCUCCCCACUCCUGGUGUGCGGUCUUGCGCCUGGCCUCCCUGCCUAGGUUACAUGCAGUGGUCAUCCCGGUCGCUCCCACACCCGUGUGGGCUCUGGGAUCCCCUCUUCCAGCCAGCCCAGGGGACAUCUGGCUGUCUCAGGACCCAGCCAUCUGUAAAAAUUAGGCAGGUCCCUUCAGUAUGCUCCUGGUCAACAAAGAAAAACUUCAAUUUUGAGAAUGGCAUCUGUAUUCCGAAGUGUUCUCUCAGAUGUUUGAGUUCCACUAAGUAGAUUUUCUUAGUCUGCUGUAUCAAUGACACAGAGAGACGUGCAUUAAAACCUCAACCAUGUGGAUCUAUUUCUUUUCAGUUAAUUUUGCUUCAUGUAUCUUGAAGCUCUGUUAUCAGGUGCAUGCACAUUUGGGAUUGUUAUGCUUUCCUGAUGAACUGACCUUCUUUCAUUAUGCAAGGGGAAGAAGAUGCUGCAUACAGGAUGGAAUAUCCAGGGGAAGACGUCUAAGGAGAGAUGCCCAGCUGGGAGUCCUAUGCAAGGGGAAGAAGAUGCUGCAUACAGGAUGGGAUAUCCAGGGGAAGAUUUCUAAGAAGAGAUGCCCAGCUGGGAGUCCUAUGCAAGGGGAAGAAGAUGCUGCAUACAGGAUGGGAUAUCCAGGGGAAGAUUUCUAAGGAGAGACACCCGGCUGGAAGUCAAGAUAUGUCAGUUGUUUCCAUUAUAAUAAAACCACUCAUGUUAGAUGAGCUGAACUUUCCCUUUUCCCCAGUUCUUACGAUCAAAAAGUGGCUGUCCUAAAUUUCAUCACUCAAUAUCCUUGCUAGAGUCUUCCUUUGUCAGCCAGGCUGGAGUGCAAUGUGCAAUGGCACAAUCUUGGCUCACUGCAACCUCUGUCUCCUGGGCUCAAGCAAUUCUUCUGCCUCAGCCUCCUGAGUAGCUGGGAUUACAGGUAUGCACCACCAUGCCCAACUAAUUUUUGUAUUUCAGUAGAGACGAGGUUUCACCAUGUUGGCCAGGCUGGUCUCGAUCUCCUGACCUCAGGUAAUCUGCCCACCUUGGCCUCUCAAAGUGCUGGGAUUACAGACAUGAGCCAUCAUGCCUGGACAUAAGUGAGUUUUAUAUUGUAUUAUAAGACUAUGAUACAGUAAAACCAUGAAAUCCAAAUUUAUAAUAUCACACUACAUAAUACAACUGUAACCUCACCGCCCUAUCCUGGGAUGUGUGUCAUUUUUAUAGCCAAUUAUGGCCCCCAGCUUUAGUUUUCUUUUGCUUAUUGGAGAGUGUAAUUCUCCCUUAUUCUUUUUGCUUUCUACAGUCUUGUGUACAUCAGUUAUCUGUUUUUGUCCUUUUGCCAGUGUUCAAAGUGUUAUUUUUCGUAUUUACUUAAGCUCCUGCAGGGAGAUUAGAAUUUCUUCCCCUAAGAAGAAAUAAGUAAUAGCGGAGACCUGCUGGGCACUGGUGGCGCCAGGCUUGGCUCUGGGGCUGCCCAUCCAUCCUCACAGCAUGGCGACUGGAGGGUCUUGCCCUGAGGUCCCGUGUGCGGAGCAGGGCUUGGCAUUCACUCCUAGGCACUGCUGACUCAGUCUGUCCUGGUGGUGCUGGGAGGCCGAAACCCGUCAUGCAUGUAAACCGCGGGGCCCCGUCUGGCAUGGUGCACCUGUGCUGGGAGUGCCUAUAGAGUAGGAAAAGUAUUCCUGGACCUUUAAAAAACUUAGGCCAAAAAAGUGUUUUGGUUGAAUCUUUGGCCAAAUUGGAACUGCAAACUCUGUAUUAUCUCCCCUUUUGUGAAAUUCUAUGGAAAAUUCGAGCAAAUAAAUAUGCAUUUCCCAGUG